rnacentral:misc_RNA from 1 species
GUUCUUUUAAUAUUGUAUACUUGUAUUAAAAAAUGAUGCUUUCUGAGUUUAUUAUUCCCUUGAAUGUAUAGUGUCAUGCAUAGUGAAUUGGAAGAUUUGGUGUGAAAGUAUUAUCUGUAUGGUCAAUCCUGUUUUACAUAUAGCAAUCAGCAUAACAUUGGCUAUUUUUUCCCUUAUACUGCUAGUCUUAGAGCAUCCAAUCUAAAAGCUUGAGCAAAUGGGUGCGGGCCUAUAAUUCAUAUAAAAUUACACAGUCCUUAAUAUGCUUCCUGAUUAAU